UCUGCCGCGGCCGGGAAGUUCGAACAGAAGUCUGGGGAAGAGCCGGCGAAGAGCAAAGAGAUAAUACAGUACUCCCAGCUAUAGCAAGCGGCAGUUAUGGAGCAUGCGCAGCAGCAGGGGCGGCCGCAGGUCGCCGUUCAAUAAUACUCAAGGGAUUUGUACAGCCCUGUAGGAGACACCUCCAGAGAAAGUAACAGCUCUCAAUUGAUUAGCUGAGGAAGACACCAGACAAAUGAGUUACACUGUUUUGGACUCCCCAACACAACCCAGCCACCGGCUGAAUGCCACCAAAUUACCUUCUAGUUAAAGGUUUAUGGAGCAAACGAAUCACCUAUUCAAUAUCUGCUUGAAUUUCUGACUCAAAAUACAUCAGAAGCCUCAGGGGCUGGAUCCUGACAUGAACCAGACACCUCCAGAAUUCUAUCCCAAGCAAAAGAUUAUUUCAAGGCCAGAACUCACUCCCUGCUGGAGACUGACUACAAGAUCCACUGAGAUUGAUGUGUAACCUGAUUGGGCCCACAGUGAUGCUAGCCCCUUCACCAGAUGGAACAAUAAUUCCAGACAAGCCAUCAGAGCAGGUCACACCACUUGACACCUUCUCGCCCCCUUGCCUCUCCUGCAUUCCAAACCCCUCUCUUUAAAAUCCCCAUGUUCCCUCCGUAAACUGGGCAGUGCCAAUUGUUGGAAAGAAUUCUGGCACUCUUUUCCUUCUUAGCAUGGAUAAAAAGAUUCACCCUCUUUUUAUCACACCUCACUCUUGUUAUUUUGGCUUCUUUCUACAAGUGGUGAGCAACCGGGCCCCCUUUGCUGGUUAUAGUAUGAACUAUUUUAUUUUUUUUAAUCUACAAUAAAAUAAAAUACAUUCAUUAGA
rnacentral:lncRNA from 1 species